rnacentral:lncRNA from 1 species
CGCUGUCGGACUCCUCCCAUGAAGUUCAACGAUGAUCUCCUCUCACGUUUGGGGAAACUCUUCUUGUCACCCAAUGCCAUUCUCUCAUAUAAUGAAUGCAGCCCCAACUACCACGAUAAAGCUCCUGCUCGUCUUUCUAACUUUGAUAUCCAUUGCCUGGGGCAGCGACUCUCUUGACGUGAUGACAGAAGAUUGUCCCAAUCGUUCUACCAUAUCGGCGAACCCGCCAGAAGAAAACGAGGAU